rnacentral:lncRNA from 1 species
CCAACGCUUAGCAGCUUAAACUUUUUUUUUUUUCCUCCGUGCAGUUUCUGAGGGCCAGGAACCUGGGUGGUUCUGGCUUAGGGCCUUCCAUAGGUUGUAGCCAAGUUGCUGGCCAGGGCUGCAGUUAUGAUUUGACUGGGGAUGGAGGAUUCACCUCUAACAUGGCAUCUUUCAUGUGGCUGUUGGCUAGAGGCUCAGUUCCUCACUGACUAUUGUCAGGAGGCCACAGUUCCUUGUCACAAGAGACUCCAGAAGGCUACUUGGCAUAACAGCUGGCUUCCCUCAAAAGAAACUAUUCUAAAGAGAGUGACCAAGAGGGAAGUAACAAUGCCUUUUAUGAUCUAGUCUCUGUAUUCACACAUGAUCACUUCUUCUUUAUUCUAUUGGUCAUACAAACCAAUCCAGACACACAGGGACUAACAAGGAUAUGAACACCAGCAGAUGAAGAUCAUCAGUACCAUCUUGGAGGCUGGCUACCACAACAGUUAAAGAACUCCCUUUAGCAUUUCUCGUAGGACAGGUCUGGUGUUAAUGAAAUCCCUCAGCUUUUGUUUGUCUGGAAAAGUGUGUCUCCUUCAUGUUUAAAGGAUAUUUUAGCUGGAUAUACUACUCUAAGCAACCCAGUGAUUCCAUGGAAAGCAGAAAGAAGGACAUAAAGAAACGGAUACUUGGUGACAUCUUUGACUCACUGGAUCAAACCUUGCCUGAAGCUCACAUUUCUGAAAUUUCCAGAUACAAGAACAAAUACUUCCUCUUUAUUGUUUUACUAGAUUUGAGACAAGCUUUAAGUUUCUCAGACUCUUCCUCUUCCUAACAGAUUUAUCAGAAGCUGAAAGCUCUGAUCUUGUUGGGAUGCGGAUCGUGUCAGGAGAAGGCUUACUUUGCACGCUUUUCUUAGUCUGGUUGCCUAACUCAAGAACCUCGGCAUGGCUCUGUUACUUCUCUACUCAGACAAGCAUCCCUGCAGACACUCACUAGGCUAACUCUGUCUUUAUUUUUAGAAUUAGACCUUUACGAGAAGCACAGUUUUGUCUUCAGUUUCCUCUCCCCCCACCCGGAAUGGCCUGAGCCGAAGCCAGCUCCCUCCGAGAAGUCAUUACCGCCUGACUUGCGUUUGAUAUUUAGACACCUUGGUCACAACAUCUUGCAUUCUCUCGGGAUGCUGAUUUCUAACUGCUCUUUGGCCUUUCCUGCAUUGGUCCUCCUCAGGCAGGGGAUCCCUGCUCUUCUAUAUUAGUGAGAAAACCAAGGCUCAGAGAAACUGUGGAUUUUCUAAGGAUGCUGGCUCCCCGUCCCCUGUCCACC